GUGCUCGCUUCGGCAGCACAUAUACUAAAAUUGGAACGACACAGAGAAGAUUAGCAUGGCCCUUACGUAAGAAUGACAUGCAAAUUCAUGAAGCGUUCCGUAUUUUG
rnacentral:snRNA from 1 species